GACGAACGCUGGCGGCGUGCUUAACACAUGCAAGUCGAACGAAGAGCGAUGGAAGCUUGCUUCUACCAAUCUUAGUGGCGAACGGGUGAGUAACGCGUAAUCAACCUGCCCUUCAGAGGGGGACAACAGUUGGAAACGACUGCUAAUACCGCAUACGAUCUAAUCUCGGCAUCGAGGAUAGAUGAAAGGUGGCCUCUACAUGUAAGCUAUCACUGAAGGAGGGGAUUGCGUCUGAUUAGCUAGUUGGAGGGGUAACGGCCCACCAAGGCGAUGAUCAGUAGCCGGUCUGAGAGGAUGAACGGCCACAUUGGGACUGAGACACGGCCCAGACUCCUACGGGAGGCAGCAGUGGGGAAUCUUCCGCAAUGGACGAAAGUCUGACGGAGCAACGCCGCGUGAGCGAUGACGGCCUUCGGGUUGUAAAGCUCUGUUAAUCGGGACGAAAGGCCUUCUUGCGAAUAGUGAGAAGGAUUGACGGUACCGGAAUAGAAAGCCACGGCUAACUACGUG
rnacentral:rRNA from 1 species